CCCGGCCCCAAUAAUUUCUUACCCUUUCUUUCUUCCUUCCUCCCUCCCUUCUUCUUUCUUCGACUUCUUCGUCCUUCUUCUUCUUCUCCCUCUCCUUCCCCUUCCUUCUACUUCUGCGUUGCGCCGACGCCAGCUAAACAUCCGAAGUUUUCACUAAAAGAGCUGCAAAUCUGCAAUGGCGUCCACUUCUACUCCACAUGCCAACAUUGGCACAGGAAGAAUGUCAACUGCCGCUUCGACACUUUAUGCAGACAAUCAGACUCUUAUUACUGAAAUUAGGAAGGCUGUGAUGAUGAUGAAAGAUGUAGGGAUCGACUUUGAGAGGGACAACAAUUCUGAAAUGGUGAAAGUUCUUGAAAAUGGUGUUACUGAAUUAAUGAAAUCUUCAGAUGAGUGCACUCAGCUUUCCAAUGCUAUACAGUCUAUCAAAAAUGAGUACCAGCCUGGUGCCGAGCUAACCGAUUUCACAAAGCUGUUUGAUGAGAAAAUUAAAAGAUCCAGGAAGGAUUCUUCCUCUGUCUCACAGAACCAGACAUUGCUACGGCAAUUCCGUGAAGCUAUCUGGAAUGUUCAUCAUGCAGGGCAGCCUAUGCCAGGUGAAGAGCAGGAGGACAUAGUAAUGACUAGCUCACACUGCAAUCUUUUGAAUAUGACAUGCCCACUGACUGGAAAACCUGUCGAGGAAUUAGUAGAGCCUGUCCGAAGUAUGGACUGCAAGCACAUAUACGAGAAGCAACACAUCAUGCAGCGUAUUAGGUCCAAGGUUGCACAGGGUCAAUGCCCGGUAUCAGGUUGCCCAAGAAGGCUGCAGGCAGAUAGAGUAGUGUGCGACGCUUUGUUGCUUAUAGAGAUUGAGGAAAUGCGAUCUAUGAAAUUACAAGAAGCCUGCAAUGAUGUAAUAGAAGAUGUUACAGCUGAUUGACGAAAACAAUUAGGCUAUAAAGAUUUAAAGAAGAAGAUAUAUCUUUUUGCUCUGUGAGAAUUUUAAUUCAGCACCAGGCUUGAAUCAUGUUGGUGACUGUUCUUUAGAGCCAGCCCUGUGAAGAUGAUGAUGAUGAUGAUAGUGGCAAGGCAAAAGCUGCUUGAAGAGUGCUGGUUUUAUGACAGGCUAUUGCUGGAAUGCCCGGAACUCUCGGGGGACUGUCAAGAUGAAUAGACGGAGUUUUGAUGGGGAAGUUGAUCAGACAGGCUUAUGUGAUUGAUUCAGAUACUUCUUUGUGCUAAUUAAGGUACCGAUUACAUGAACACAUGCACGCAUACACAUAUAUUGUAGAGUUGGAAUAUCAUAUGAUUUGUUUUGUUUUGUUAAGUUUUGUUUCUAAAUAUCGAAUUCCAAUUCCGGCUCAUCAAGAAUGAAGGUAGAUGAUAGGUAAGUCUAACUGUAUGAACACAACCGUGUUCGACGUAAGAUCAAUAUUGAUUUUUGCUUUAUAUUAAUAUUAAGGUGAUGAAUAAUACUAUUCCCUC